rnacentral:misc_RNA from 1 species
UGCAAUUGCAUAGCACCA